UAAAUACUUCAAAAGAGAUCGAAGGAGGAUUUUUAUCCGAUCUCCACUCAGAAUUUUAAUAAAUAUUUAAAAGAGAUAGGAGGAGAGUUCUUAUCCUAUUCUCACACCAAAUUUCAACCCGUAUGCAAGAUAAUCCCAAAACCAAGACGAUUCGUGACGCCAACUCACUAAGGCUGUCUCAUUUACUUAUGUAUCUGGGUGAUCCUGAUCGGUGAAAAAUCAAACAUUCCUUUUACCAAAAGGACUAACAUUCCCAUCCGAGCCCUUCUAACAAAUUUAUAAAGGACACAAAAUUAAAUCUACCUACCCUUAUUAAGGGACGAGGUGG
rnacentral:misc_RNA from 1 species